GGAGAGAUGUCCGAGAGGCCGAAGGAGUACGCUUGGAAAGCGUAUGUACUCUAACCGGGUACCGGGGGUUCGAAUCCCCCUCUCUCCG
rfam:Sediminispirochaeta smaragdinae DSM 11293 chromosome, complete genome.